rnacentral:tRNA from 1 species
GCCGCUGUAGCUCAGUUGGUAGAGCAGUGGACUGAAAAUCCACGUGUCACCGGUUCAAAUCCGGUCGGCGGCA